GGGGAUGGAUGGCAAAAUGUGAAAAAAAUUUCAAGUACCGUAACCCUCUGGACAAACAAAAACUGAAAGUAGAGUUGGAAGUUACCUACUCAAAGCGCCUACUACAAAAGGGCUCCGACUUAAAGUCCGGGAAGUGCAUGUA
ensembl:ncRNA F13H6.10 ncRNA